AGGGCGGCCGCACCGCAGCCAAUCCGGGCCUCCCCGCUCCCAAGAUGGCGGAGUCGAGGUCGGGGCCGGCGGCGGUUGGGCGCGGCGAUGCUGGGCUUCAUUGCGGCCCGCCAGGCUGGUCUGGACGAUCCCGCGCGGCUGCGCCGGGCCGAGGCGACGCGGAGGGUUCUGAGUUUGGAAUUAAAUAAAGACAGGGAUGUGGAAAGAAUACAUGGGAGUGGUAUUAACACCCUUGAUAUUGAGCCUGUUGAAGGCAGAUACAUGUUAUCAGGUGGGUCAGAUGGUGUUAUUGUACUUUAUGACCUUGAAAACUUCAGCAAAAAGCCAUGCUACACAUGUAAAGCAGUUUGCUCCGUAGGAAGGAGCCAUCCUGAUGUACACAGAUUCAGUGUAGAGACAGUCCAGUGGUAUCCUCAUGAUACUGGCAUGUUUACAUCCAGCUCAUUUGAUAAAACAUUGAAAAUAUGGGAUACAAAUACCUUACAACCUGCAGAUGUGUUUCAUUUCGAGGGAACAGUUUAUAGCCAUCAUAUGUCUCCAGUUGCUACCAAACAUUGUUUAAUAGCAGUUGGUACCAAAAGCCCCAAAGUACAGCUCUGUGACUUGAAGUCUGGAUCCUGUUCUCACAUUCUGCAGGGUCACAGGCAAGAAGUGCUGGCAGUGUCUUGGUCCCCGCGUCAUGAAUAUAUUUUGGCAACAGCAAGUGCUGAUGGUAGAGUAAAAUUAUGGGAUGUGAGGAGAGCAUCUGGAUGUCUGACUACACUUGAUCAGCACAAUGGAGAGAAGUCCAAAGCAUCUUCUGAAGCAGCAAACACUGCUCACAGUGGGAGAGUUAAUGGUUUAUGCUAUACAAAUGAUGGGCUUCAUUUGUUGACUGUUGGUACAGAUGAUCGGAUGAGACUUUGGAAUAGCUCCACUGGAGAAAACACAUUAGUGAACUAUGGGAAAGUCUGUAAUGAAAGUAGAAAAGGACUCAAAUUCACCAUCUCUUGUGGCUGUAAUCCAGAGUUUGCUUUUGUACCGUAUGGUAGUACCAUUGCUGUUUAUACUAUUUUUUCAGGAGAACUGAUAACUAUGCUUAGAGGGCAUUAUAAUACUGUUGACUGCUGUGUAUUUCAACCUAAUUUUCAGGUAAGUGAAAUAUUUGGGACAACCUGGAAUAUUUAUGCAGAUUGCCAAACCAUUUGCACAAAAUGUGGUAUCUUCACAGGGAUGUGCUUUAAUAGAAAAGCUUGAAGUAACAGGGAGUUAAGUGGCUUUGUCAAGUGAGAAACAUUAGAUCAAGUACUUCUGAUGGCCCUUUCUAUAUCUCAUUCCUUCCCCUAUUCACUUCCUCUCACACAGGUCUUUUGAGUAUACCUGUAGUAAUUUUUGUCUUAUGUUGUUCUUAAUAAAUCGUAUGUGUUAUUAAGGCUUUUGCUGGUCUUCUGUAAGAGUGAAGAGGAAUUUUCUUCCUUUUUAUUGAGGCAGUCAGUGGCUUAUGAAGAGGUAUUUGCCUUUCUCUGAAACAUCUAAGACUAGUCACAGUAAGAAAGAAAGUGAAGCACGUUUGGAUGAAGUGUAUAGAUAUUCCCAGUCCCAAGCACUCUGAUGUGCUUGGCUGGUGAUCUUGCCUAAAUGCUUGUAAGCUAUACUAAUCACUGCAUCUAUGAACAGUUUGGAAAAAGUUGUUGAGAACGUGAUCAGUUUCUUAAAUUAAACCAGGUGUACUUCACGUAAGAAAUUCCCGUGGCCUUUCAGGGCCUCAUGACUAUGGCAGCCUCUUUUUUCUUUCCUGCUGUGGUACAUUUUUCUCUUGUACUAAAAGUCCUAAAGGUAACAAAGCCUAAUUUGCUGUGAGGUAUUUUACAACAGAUUGUUUUUAUGACUUGUGGUAGUGUGGCAAGGGAAGGGUGGAUAUUCCUAAGCUUUUUAAGUUUUUUACAUAGUUUCCUUCAGUUGUUGAGGACUGUACUUAAUGUUCCAGCUCCUUCUUUCUAGUCUUUUGUUUCUGAAAUAACAGGCAGAAGCAUAUGAGACAGAAAGGUCAAGUGAAUAUCUUUUCUGACCUCUCAUACAAUGCAUCGUGGAAUUUAAUCUAUUGUUCUCACGUCGAGUACAGUAACUUUGACUGAAGGAAUGUUUCCCUGCCAGUGAGAUGGACUUCACUGAGAGAUUUGAACACAUUACAGAUGAGGCAGUAAAGCCCAAGCUAACAAACUUUACUAGACUGGAAAAACGUUUCUGGGAUGAAUAGGCAGGGAGAUACUGGAUCAACUGAGAGGUGGAAUAUUGCCUCUCCUGCCCUCCAAUGCCCCAAAUGGAACUCAAUUAUGAAAAAGCUGAGAAUCAGUGGAUUAAGAUAUGUAUCUUUCUCUCUUGAUUAAACAUUCCAAAGUAUGGAACAUCUGCUUCCUUUGUUGGUGCUGCAAACAAAUAAAAUCCUUAUUAUUAAUAGGUUCAGAUUAUAACUAAGGCAAAUCUUUCCUGGAUUUUAGUUUCUGUUCAUUAAUUCUUCUUGGACUGUUCUUGGCUAGAUUAAAAAGCUCUCUGUCUUUUUAAGAAUGGUCUCAAAAUGAAGGUGCUAGUGUGUUUGUAUAAAGUCAUCUUUGGUAUUCUUUAUGGUAAGCUGAAGGGACAAGACUUCUUAACUAUCACUAGAAAGCAUGUUUUCCAGCCUUGGAAAAACAUGUCUCUUUAUCUUGUCUCUACCUUGUCUUUUGAAAUACUUGGAAAAGUAAACGACACUGCAGUAUCAGCAUCAGUAUUAUUCAAUAUGCCAGAAUUAUCUCCCUGUUCUUGUGUAUCGCUCGUCUGUGUGCCUGUGUGCGUGUACACACAAUUUGUGAGCAUGCGCACAAGAACUGCAUCACUCAGUAUAGUCAUGGGCUUGCUGGCAACUUAACUUCAUUUGCUUAUCCACUGUGAUUCCUGAGUCUCUUUCAGCGUCACCCUUACUACAGUUUGGUUUUGCAUUCUCUGUGUGGCUCGUGUCCCUUUGUGCUAUACUAACUGCUUAAAAUAACUUAAGUAAACAAAGACCAGCUGUGUUUCCCUUUCAGAAACAAAAAUGAAGUAAAUAACUAAUAAUUAAUUAAUCAAUAAUGAAGUAAAGAAUAUUAGCAGUGCAUCAGGAAUAGUGUUUUUUUAAAUAUAGGUCCUUUUACGUUCGGGGAAUACCAAUGACAGCUACAAAGUUAUCUGGCAAACCUACCCAUCUGUAACAAUCCAGUGGCAGGCUAACAGAUAACAAAAACUAAAAAUUAAUUUCAGCUUUACUUGCAAUCUUUCCUCAGAAUUUUAAAAUAUAGCAUUGAAAUAUUAUGCUAUACUGUACUGUAAAUAUGCAUGGAGCUUUAUACAUUGACAUUUCUUUUGACUGACUUACAGUCGAGUCACUGUUUCAGAUUUUAAUAAUUAUAAAUAUUAGUCAACAUGGUCUAUAAUAACUGAAGAUCUUGCAAUCCCAGGACCAGAAAGAGAGACAAGUAGUCAUAAAGAUUAACUGAAUUAUACUGAUUUCCCCAAUUACAUUGCUCAGAAGGAGGGAUUUGGGGUGGGAGAUAUUGCUUGUUUUUAAAGUUCCACUGAUAUUGUGCAUCUUGCAAAAGACAGGAUGCUUGAGUAGAGUACUGCCAAUAGGAUGAAGUGAUAUCUGACCUAUACCUUGGUAUAACUUUGACCUGUUUUAUUCUUUUAAGCAAGAAAAGUGGGAUGUUUAUCUCUCAGAAAAUUUUAAAUCCCAGUCUUGUGUUAUGCAUGAAUAACUUCGUUCCUGGGAGUAGUUUCACAGAAGUCAGUAUAUCAGCUUGCUGGAAUAAGGUUACCCACAUAAGUGGGUAUUUAUAGGAACUAGUUAACUUAAUAGUUAACUAUUAAGUUCCUGCACCAACUGUCAGAGUAAUUCAUGCUUUUCUAGAUUUAAAUAUACAUAAUACAAAAUGAGACUUUCUGCAAAGACAGAACUGUAGUAAUUUAUUGAAUUAUGUUGAAUCAACUUAUUAAAAUAGCUUUGGAGAUAUGCACAGAGUUGCUAGGUUGUGUAGGAGCCAGUAUCUUUUAGAAGAUUUUUUCCAUUGUCAGCUUGAAUACAGAAAAGAAUACUGUGCAUGUUUCACUCAGGUUUUUUAAACAUAUGGUAGUUCUCAUCUUAAUUGUUAUCAGACAUUUUAUAUAAUAAGCAGGAGUUUAAUUCAAGAUUGAAGGCAUAUGAAAAUAUCUUCAUACACAUUCAUGUGAGUAGCGGUUUGGAAAACAGGAGCAUUAUCAGUGCAAAAGUUACUGCAAAGGUGGUGCAGUAUUUCUGAAUAGCAAAAUUUCUUCAGUUUAGAGUGACAGAGAAACUUGUAUUUCCUUUAAUAAAGAACUAACAAAAUGAAGCUAUAUUUGACUGUUAGCUGUUCGGUGCAGAGACUGUUUGCUUCCAUGUGUUUGCAGGGUGCCUAGCACAAUGGGAUCCCAGUCCUUAACCAUUAACAUAAUAAAUAGGGUUAUUUAUAUUAAAAAUAAUAAAUCAGUCUUUCUGAUUUCUGCCUUCCCAACAGGAUGCAGGCUUCAAGUUGUUCCUUGUUUGUUCUUUUCCUUGCCUAGGCAUACUUAAGCUAUGUUUACUUAAUACUUCUUUGCUCCAUACUUAUGCACUCUUGUAAUCUAUAUCUUUUGUUAGAAGUUUUUGCAUUGAUUCAUAUUUUUAAUUAUAAUGGAAAAAUCUCUUCCUUUUUUUCCUUCCUCCCUUUCUAUUGACCAUAAAUACAGUUAUCUUCUAAGCUUACUAACUUUUAAAUUAGGUUACUUUUCAGAAGACACAUGAGAGGGAAGAAAAAAAAAUACAUUUAAGCAAUGAAGUUCAUUUAAAUGUGAACAGUGCUGUUCUGAUGCCUCCAGGCUGGAGGAAAUAUCAUAAGGAACUUUAUAGCGGUAGCAAAGAUUGCAAUAUCCUUGCUUGGAUACCUGCUCUUCGAGAGCCAGUUCCUGAUGACAUUUCUGAAAAG